rnacentral:rRNA from 1 species
CGGAGGGUGCAAGCGUUAUCCGGAUUCACUGGGUUUAAAGGGUGCGUAGGAGGGCAGGUAAGUCAGUGGUGAAAUCUCCGAGCUUAACUUGGAAACUGCCGUUGAUACUAUCUGUCUUGAAUAUUGUGGAGGUGAGCGGAAUAUGUCAUGUAGCGGUGAAAUGCUUAGAUAUGACAUAGAACACCAAUUGCGAAGGCAGCUCGCUACACAUAUAUUGACUCUGAGGCACGAAAGCGUGGGGAUCAAACAGGAUUAGAUACCCUGGUAGUCCACGCCCUAAACGAUGGAUACUCGACAUACGCGAUACACAGUGUGUGUCUGAGCGAAAGCAUUAAGUAUCCCACCUGGGAAGUACGAUCGCAAGAUUG